rnacentral:rRNA from 1 species
GAUCAUGGCUCAGGAUGAACGCUAGCGACAGGCUUAACACAUGCAAGUCGAGGGGCAGCACGGUGUAGCGAUACACUGGUGGCGACCGGCGCACGGGUGAGUAACACGUGUGCAACCAACCCCGUACCGGGAGAUAACCCGCGGAAACGUGGACUAACAUCCCAUGAGACUCUAGAGCCGCAUGGCUCUAGAUUUGAAAUUCCGGUGGUACGGGACGGGCACGCGCGACAUUAGGUAGUUGGG